rnacentral:ncRNA from 1 species
UUGAGCCGGAUGAGAUAGAAAUACUCAUGUCCGGUUCUUAGGGGGCGAUGGUGUAGCGAUGCACUGCUGCUACCCGAC